rnacentral:tRNA from 1 species
AGGGGAAGUGACAGAAUUAUUGUAUUUAGUUUGAAACUAAAUGAUAGAGGUUUAAAUCCUUUCUUCUCUUU